rnacentral:rRNA from 1 species
CCGUACCAUGCUGAAUAUACCGGUUCUCGUUAGAUCACCGAAGUCAAGCAUCAUUGGGCGCGGUUAGUACUUGGGUGGGUGACCACCUGGGAACACUGCGUGCCGUU